AUGAAUAAGGAUACUAGUUUUAAAUGGAGUUUUUGAUGUUUUCUUCUCUCUUUCCUCUCUUACAUUUAAUAAUGGUUUAAGAGAGAGGAGAGAGAGAGAGAAGUGAAAAAGAAGAAGAAAGAAUACAAAGAGUUUGUGUUAAAGACGAGUUGUUUUUUUUGGAAAAAUCAAGAAAAAUACCCCUUUGGGUUUUGAAAGAAGAUGGUGGGGGUGUUUGACUUUGGAGCUGAAGAGGGGUUGUUUUGCUUUUUGAGGUAAUAGUUUGGUUUUUUUUUCCUUCUGCUGCUGAUGGGUAUGAAAGUGGCAUUUGGUAGGUCUACAAGUUUGAUGGUAUAAUUUGCUGAUAACUAUUGUUUGUUAGAGGUUAAAAAGUUUUGAUCUUUGGCUUAGUUGAUAGAGAUAUUGGGAUUUUUCCAGCUUUAGUUUUGGUGUUGAAAAGGUUGUUUUGAAGGUGAUUGAUCAUUUAUGGUUUAUCUGCACUUGGGGUAUGAAGGAUGUUUACACUGAAUUUGAAGGUUGGAGUUUGAUUUCUUGAUUUUCUACCACCCUUUGAUGGACUUGAAGAAAUUGUCAGUAGAAAGCUUGGCAAAAUUCAUAGGGGAUUUGAAGGGAAUUCUUGAAUUUGGAACUUCUUCUGAGCUGAAGGAGGAGGAAAAGGAGAGAUUUUUUACUUGUUAUCAGGUGUUCUAGGCUGAUUGAAGAAAAUGGAUGAAGAGGUUAAUUCUUGGAUUAGGAGAACAAAGUUUUCUCAUACAGUUUGUCAUAGGUUGGAUUCUGCAAGAUUGGCCUCUAUUCCUUUUACUAUUCAGUCAGAAAGAAUUGCAGGUGCAAAAACAAGACCUGAAACUGCUUCUCCUAAUCCAAGACCUGAGCCAACCGUUGUGCGACUUCAGCGCAACCCAACUACAAACAAACAGAGGACUGUAUCACCUCAUCCAGAAACAGCAAUUUCCGAUACCUUUAAGGAAGCUCGAUCUAGUCAGAAGAGAUUCUCAACUCCACAUCCACAAAGGAAGGAACAUGAGAAGAAAAUUAUGAGCAAGUCGUUUCACAAAGAUUCCCGCGGAACAAAGUCGCCUAUGUUAAGGUCNUUGUUAAGGUCUCCUGGUUCGAGAUCUCCAGCAAAUACAAGUCCCCUUCGGCAUUUCACGUCAAUGAAGUUCCAUGAUAAAUCAAAGAGCCGGAAGGAUUCAGCAUGGAGUAGGUACUUUGAUCAUGGUGUUGGUAGGGUCAGUUCUGUAGAAACAGCAGAUGAAUAUACAAUUGAUCUUUCUAAGCUGUUUCUUGGGCUAAGAUUUGCACACGGUGCGCACAGUCAGCUUUACCACGGGAAAUACAAGGAUGAAGCUGUCGCGGUGAAAAUUAUUAGAAUACCAGAUAAUGACGAAAUUGGAGCUUUAGCAACUCGAUUGGAGAAUCAGUUUAUUAGAGAAGUUACUCUCUUGUCUCGUCUCCACCAUCCAAAUGUUGUAAAGUUCGUAGGUGCAUGCAAACAACCACCAGUCUUUUGUGUUGUUACUGAGUAUCUAUCGGAGGGUUCUUUGAGAGCAUACCUGCAUAAGCUUGAGCAUAAAUCCCUAAUCUUGGGCAAAUUGAUAGCACUUUCCAUGGAUAUUGCUCGUGGAAUGGAAUAUAUUCACUCACAAGACAUUAUUCAUCGGGACCUCAAACCAGAGAAUAUACUUAUCAGUGAGGAAUUUCACCUGAAAAUUGCUGAUUUUGGAAUUGCUUGUGAGGAGGCAUACUGUGAUCUCCUGGCUGAUGAUCCAGGUACUUACCGUUGGAUGGCACCAGAGAUGAUUAAGAGAAAAUCAUAUGGCCGGAAGGUUGAUGUGUAUGGCUUUGGACUCAUUCUAUGGGAAAUGGUGGCUGGAACCAUUCCUUAUGAAGAUAUGACACCAGUACAGGCUGCUUUUGCUGUCGUAAACAAGAAUAUGCGACCACCUAUUCCUGGGGAUUGCCCUCCAGCCAUGAAAGCUUUAAUUGAACUGUGUUGGGCUCUGCAGCCAGAAAAGAGGCCUGAGUUUUGGCAGAUUGUGAAGGUACUGGAGCAGUUCGAGUCAUCAGUUGCUCAUGACGGAACUCUGAAUCUUGUGCAAAAGUCAAUGUUGCAAGAUCACAAGAAAGGGCUUCAUCAUUGGAUCCAAAAGCUUGGUCCCGUACAUCAAAAUGCUUCGUUACAUCAAAUUGCCUCAUCAAUGCCAAUGCCGAAACCCAAGUUCGCUUGAAUUUUCUGGAUGAUCUGACUUUUGUGGUUUUACCAGAUUUUGUUGAAUGAAUACAUUUUGACCCCCAGACAUAUUUUGCAUAGUUGAGAUGGUUGUCAUUGACAAAGGACACAAUCUAAAGAUUGUUCCUAUAGCUCCAGCAUUGACGAAGGUUCCUUCUGGAAGGACUAACAAUUUAGAAACAAGAAUCUUUAUAGUUUUCCCCUUGGGUGCACACGAUUAACGUUGGACCUUUAAGGGAAAACAUAUGUGAAGAUGAUAGGUUGCUAAGCCUAAGGGUGCAGGUCAGAAAAGAUAGCUGGGCCAAUGGUUCCGUACGUUUUAAAGGAAAGAAGAUAAUGUGAUUAAUUCACUUGCUACUUGCUGCAUCAACUUGGUUUUCUUUCUUUUGGUAUCAAGAGAUAGGUAUGCAAGCCCAUCUACUCCACUACCUCUUGAAUGGAAAUUAAAUAUCUUCUCAUUUAUUACCCAUAUUGCUAUAUCUAGAAUGUAUAUAAGGACCACAAAGUGGGUACUGAACUUUACUAAUGUUGCACUUGCAUGUUAUACAUGUAUCGACUGGUUCCUGGAAAUAUCGUAAUUCAUUUCCUUUUUAUUUGAAUAAUGAAAGGAAAGACAACUAGUUAGGUUUU